rnacentral:rRNA from 1 species
AGUGAACGCUGGCGGUAGGCCUAACACAUGCAAGUCGAACGGCAGCACAGUAGGAGCUUGCUCUUACGGGUGGCGAGUGGCGGACGGGUGAGGAAUACAUCGGAAUCUACUUUUUCGUGGGGGAUAACGUAGGGAAACUUACGCUAAUACCGCAUACGACCUACGGGUGAAAGCAGGGGAUCUUCGGACCUUGCGCGAUUGAAUGAGCCGAUGUCGGAUUAGCUAGUUGGCGGGGUAAAGGCCCACCAAGGCGACGAUCCGUAGCUGGUCUGAGAGGAUGAUCAGCCACACUGGCACUGAGACACGGUCCAGACUCCUACGGGAGGCAGCAGUGGGGAAUAUUGGACAAUGGGCGCAAGCCUGAUCCAGCCAUACCGCGUGGGUGAAGAAGGCCUUCGGGUUGUAAAGCCCUUUUGUUGGGAAAGAAAAGCAGCAGGUUAAUACCCCGCUGUUCUGACGGUACCCAAAGAAUAAGCACCGGCUAACUUCGUG